CUCUGACACAGGUGCUGCAUGGCUGUCGUCAGCUCGUGYCGUGARAUGUUGGGUUAAGUCCCGYAACGAGCGCAACCCUUGUCCUUAGUURCCAGCACGUUAUGGKGGGCACUCUAAGGARACUGCCGGUGACAAACCGGAGGAAGGKGGGGAUGACGUCAAGUCAUCAKGGCCCUUACRGCCUGGGCUACACACGUGCUACAAKGGUCRGUACAGAGGGUUGCCAAGCCGCGAGGUGGAGCUAAUCUCACAAAACCGAUCGUAGUCCGGAUCGCAKUCUGCAACUCGACUGCGUGAAGUCGGAAUCGCUAGUAAUCGCGAAUCAGAAUGUCGCGGUGAAUACKUUCCCG
rnacentral:rRNA from 1 species